rnacentral:rRNA from 1 species
GAUGAACGCUGGCGGCGUGCUUAACACAUGCAAGUCGAACGAUGAAGCCCAGUUUGCCUGGUGGAUUACUGGCGAACGGGUGAGUAACGCGUGAGUAACACGCCCUUGACCCUGCGCUAAGCCUGGUAAACGCGGUCGAAUACUGGACAUGACUUCGCAUCGCAUGGUGGGGGGUGGAUAGAUUGAGUGGUCUUAGAUGAACUCGGGGCCUUUGAGCUUGUUGGUGAGGUAAUGGCUCACCAAGGCGACGACGGGUAGCCGGCCGGAGAGGGUGACCGGCGACACUGGGAAUACGACACGGGGCAGACGCCUACGGGAGGAAGCAGUGAGGAAUAUUGCCCAAUGGGCGCAAGCCUGAUGCAGGGACGACGGGUGGGGGAUGGUGGCCUUCGGGUUGUAACCAUCUUGCAGUCGGGAAGAAGCGAGAGUGACGGUACCUGCAGAAGAAGCGCCGGCUAACUACGUG